rnacentral:rRNA from 1 species
CCUACGGGUGGCAGCAGUGGGGAAUAUUGGACAAUGGGCGAAAGCCUGAUCCAGCCAUGCCGCGUGUGUGAAGAAGGCCUUCGGGUUGUAAAGCACUUUCAGUGGGGAAGAAAGCCUUGGGGCCAAUACCCUCGAGGAAGGACAUCACCCACAGAAGAAGCACCGGCUAACUCCGUGCCAGCAGCCGCGGUAAUACGGAGGGUGCGAGCGUUAAUCGGAAUUACUGGGCGUAAAGCGCGCGUAGGCGGUCUGAUAAGCCGGUUGUGAAAGCCCCGGGCUCAACCUGGGAACGGCAUCCGGAACUGUCAGGCUAGAGUGCAGGAGAGGAAGGUAGAAUUCCCGGUGUAGCGGUGAAAUGCGUAGAGAUCGGGAGGAAUACCAGUGGCGAAGGCGGCCUUCUGGACUGACACUGACGCUGAGGUGCGAAAGCGUGGGUAGCAAACAGGAUUAGAUACCCCAGUAGUC